rnacentral:rRNA from 1 species
UACAGAGGUCCCAAGCGUUGUUCGGAUUCACUGGGCGUAAAGGGCGCGUAGGUGGCUUGGCAAGUUUGGCGUGAAAUCUCCGGGCUUAACCCGGAAAUGGCGUUGAAUACUGUUUGAGCUGGAGGUUUGGAGGGGGGACUGGAAUUCUUGGUGUAGCAGUGAAAUGCGUAGAUAUCAAGAGGAACACCAGUGGCGAAGGCGAGUCCCUGGACAACACCUGACACUGAGGCGCGAAAGCUGGGGGAGCAAACAGG